CCUACGGGUGGCUGCAGUGGGGAAUAUUGCACAAUGGGGGGAACCCUGAUGCAGCGACGCCGCGUGAGUGAAGAAGUAUUUCGGUAUGUAAAGCUCUAUCAGCAGGGAAGAAAAUGACGGUACCUGACUAAGAAGCCCCGGCUAACUACGUGCCAGCAGCCGCGGUAAUACGUAGGGGGCAAGCGUUAUCCGGAUUUACUGGGUGUAAAGGGAGCGUAGACGGCGGGGCAAGUCUGGAGUGAAAGGCCGGGGCCCAACCCCGGGACUGCAUUGGAAACUGCCAAGCUGGAGUGCAGGAGAGGGAAGCGGAAUUCCUAGUGUAGCGGUGAAAUGCGUAGAUAUUAGGAGGAACACCAGUGGCGAAGGCGGCUUACUGGACAGUAACUGACGUUGAGGCUCGAAAGCGUGGGGAGCAAACAGGAUUAGAUACCCUUGUAGUC
rnacentral:rRNA from 1 species